CAAUGCGACCCCAGGU
rnacentral:rRNA from 1 species